UAAACCUUCUGGAAAAAAAUUGAUAGCACCU
rnacentral:piRNA from 1 species